rnacentral:rRNA from 1 species
GAAGGAUCUAUAAGCGGAGGAGGAGGUCGGUGGUGAUCCCGUGCCCAUGUCUUUUGAGUGCCUUAGUUUCCUCGGCGGGUCCGCCCGCCGAUUGGACAAUUUAAACCAUUUGCAGUUGCAAUCAGCGUCUGAAAAAAACUUAAUAGUUACAACUUUCAACAACGGAUCUCUUGGUUCUGGCAUCGAUGAAGAACGCAGCGAAAUGCGAUAAGUAGUGUGAAUUGCAGAAUUCAGUGAAUCAUCGAAUCUUUGAACGCACAUUGCGCCCCUUGGUAUUCCAUGGGGCAUGCCUGUUCGAGCGUCAUUUGUACCUUCAAGCUCUGCUUGGUGUUGGGUGUUUGUCUCGCCUCCGCGUGUAGACUCGCCUCAAAACAAUUGGCAGCCGGCGUAUUGAUUUCGGAGCGCAGUACAUCUCGCGCUUUGCACUCAUAACGACGACGUCCAAAAGUACAUUUUUUACACUCUUGACCUCGGAUCAGGUAGGGAUACCCGCUGAACUUAAGCAUAUCAUUAAAGCGGAGGAAUCCUACUGUAAUUCUGGGCUUUCCGCAUCUCUUACAUGGCUUUGAGUCUUGUUUCUGGCGGUCGCAUGGAAAUUUAACAUUGGUGCAUGCCGAAAAAUUAAUAAUCACUUCACUAUGGGUUGCUCAUAAAACACAAACAUAAUAGGUAGUUAAUUUGAAUCACUUAACAUGCGCGCUAUCGGG